AAGCCCCUGAAUCGAAGACUGUUAUUUAAAGUAAGUGUCUUCCCCAGCCAAGAAAAUGGCUUAAUUCAGUUUUAGAAACAUAGAGAUUCACAUGCAUUGGAAGUCAUAUGACAUAUCUUCCCUCACUUUUUAACAUUUCUCUACAAAUCAUAAAGCUCAUUGCAAUAGAGAAGUUAUCAACUAGUUGAUAACAGAAAGAGUUGGCAAUAACAGAUAGAAGGCCAACUAAUAACAAAGCCUUCAUGCUAAUGAGAACAGCAGUCGGCUUAGUAGUGUUGUGACCAGUUAGCAGCACUACCCACUCUGGGCAUGCCUGAAUCCACUUUCUUAGACUCUGAGUCCACCUUAAAAUUUGCUCCACACACCUCGCCUGAGCUGUCCACCCUCGGUACUGAUUUCAACUCAUUGCGUGGGUGUUCAUAACUCCUCAAGCCACCAGAAGAUGUGAAAAAGCACCCUUUGGGAAAUGGUGAAAAGGAUUUCCCACAGCCUUGUUUCACAAUGUCAGCAUCAUCUGAGAGAACUAGGUGGCCUUCAGAAUCAGUACCCCAGAAGAAGGGCACACAGCCAUCAACAUCAGAAGCUAGAAAGGUACUCUUAGAAGCGCAAUCAUAAAGAACGAAUGCAAACUUUCCAUGAAUAUCCUUCACAACCUGAUCUGGAGGAUAAGGACCUCUAUCCCUCAAAGUCCUGUAAGCCUCAAUAACAAUGAUCACUUCAUUUGCGGUCUUGUUUAACCCAUACUGUUGCUUAAGAUGUGCUACAUUCUCGAUGUGGCCUUGAAACAUGCAGAAAAUGUCAUCCACAACAGCAAACAACCUGGGAAGUAAAGGGUUUUGGCGUUCAGAUGAAUAAGCCAAGAAUCCAGAAGAACCAAGGUUGAUGGUAACUGAACCAGAAUGGGCAGAUGAGAAAUGCUGUGCCAAAAAACCAUCUUUGAGUGCUGAAACUGCACCAUCAUUGUUAGGACUUUGAAGGGCUUCUGGGCUUUUAGCCACAGAUUUGUCAAAUACUGCAAGCAUUUUUGGAUGAUGGAAAAAUUACAG
rnacentral:misc_RNA from 1 species